AGUGAACGCUGGCGGUAGGCCUAACACAUGCAAGUCGAACGGCAGCACAGUAAGAGCUUGCUCUUACGGGUGGCGAGUGGCGGACGGGUGAGGAAUACAUCGGAAUCUACUUUUUCGUGGGGGAUAACGUAGGGAAACUUACGCUAAUACCGCAUACGGCCUACGGGUGAAAGCAGGGGAUCUUCGGACCUUGCGCGAUUGAAUGAGCCGAUGUCGGAUUAGCUAGUUGGCGGGGUAAAGGCCCACCAAGGCGACGAUCCGUAGCUGGUCUGAGAGGAUGAUCAGCCACACUGGAACUGAGACACGGUCCAGACUCCUACGGGAGGCAGCAGUGGGGAAUAUUGGACAAUGGGCGCAAGCCUGAUCCAGCCAUACCGCGUGGGUGAAGAAGGCCUUCGGGUUGUAGAGCCCUUUUGUUGGGAAAGAAAAGCAGCAGGUUAAUACCCCGCUGUUCUGACGGUACCCAAAGAAUAAGCACCGGCUAACUUCGUG
rnacentral:rRNA from 1 species